CCGCUGGCGACCGGCGCACGGGUGCGUAACGCGUAUGCAACUUGCCCUGCACAGGAGGAUAACCCGUCGAAAGACGGACUAAUACUGCGUACACUCACUGGGAGGCAUCUCUUGGUGAGGAAAGAAAUUCGGUGUAGGAUAGGCAUGCGUCCCAUUAGCUAGUUGGUGAGGUAACGGCUCACCAAGGCGACGAUGGGUAGGGGAACUGAGAGGUUUAUCCCCCACACUGGUACUGAGACACGGACCAGACUCCUACGGGAGGCAGCAGUGAGGAAUAUUGGUCAAUGGGCGCGAGCCUGAACCAGCCAAGUCGCGUGAAGGAUGACUGUCUUAUGGAUUGUAAACUUCUUUUGUAUGGGAAUAACGGGGCGGACGUGUCCGCUUGUGAAUGUACCAUACGAAUAAGCAUCGGCUAACUCCGUGCCAGCAGCCGCGGUAAUACGGAGGAUGCGAGCGUUAUCCGGAUUUAUUGGGUUUUAAAGGGUGCGUAAGCGGCUUGUUAA
rnacentral:rRNA from 1 species